CCCUAGCGGACCACGGUCAUCUCCUUCCCAGCCCCCACGCCCCCUUCAGAUCCACGCGCCUCUGCCUCUCCACCGAAGCCUACUCAGAUCUGCUGCAGGAGGCGAGAGGCCAGUGAGCGGCGGCCGAGCGCUAGCCGCUAGGCGGGCCCCGGCCCGCGCGCGCCGCGCCAGGGAUACGCGUUGGGCGGUGGCUCCCCCUCCGCGACCGGCGGCCGCAGCUCGGCGCCAGCUCGCGGCUCAACCUCCACGAGGCGCCAACGGAUGGGCAGGCAGCGGCCUGCCGGCGCAGCUCGGCCCCGGCGUGCGGCUCCGCCUCUGCGAGGCGUAGGCAGAAGGGUAAGCAGCAGCUGCCGGCGCAUCUAAUUAGACGCUGUUGCCGCUGCCGGCGGCGGCAUCCACAUCCAGCACGCCCGCAACGCUCCGUCACCAUGGCUGGCGUGCACAUCACGCACGUCCGCGAAUACAUUGUAUAUUGCUGAAGAGGAUGUCAAUCACUUCCAUUCUGAUGGGUAUGCUCUUUUUGAAACAGGAGUAGACCAGGAACUUUGCAUUUACAAAAUAAAACAGGGAGAAGUCAAGGAUAGCUUUAUCGAUCAGACAAUUGGAGGAAGAUCCUUUAUUGGAGACAUUGGACAAAGUUAUUCCUUUGGUUAGUAGAAACAAAGGGUGCUGCUGAUGAUAACUUCUUUGCAAGCGUUCAGUCUAUUGCAGUGUGCAUCUGGUGAUUUAAAAGGUUAAAGAACUGGCAGUUAGAAUAGAAGAGAAGCCUCACAGAGAAGAAAUCAUUGCUAGCCAAAUGUGCUGCCACAACACUCAUCAAAACUGAUGUGGUGAUGAAAAAGAGUUCUUUGCUUCCUUAAUUGCUGUUGCUGGUUCAUACUCCUGAUGAAACCUAUCUUCUAUUGUUUCUGCUCUAUUUUGUUUGUCUUUUUUCCUGUAAUGUUAGGCUGCUAGUUUUGAUACAUGGAAAAAAACUUUAUGUGAUCCAUUAUUCUGAUGUCAUGAUGUUGGGGUGCAAACAUUAUUGAUAUGACAUUAUAAUUUUGGAUGUAAUUGCUUAUUGUGACUUUUGUGC